rnacentral:rRNA from 1 species
GACGAACGCUGGCGGCGUGCCUAAUACAUGCAAGUCGAGCGCAGGAAGCCGUCUGAACCCUUCGGGGGGACGACGGUGGAAUGAGCGGCGGACGGGUGAGUAACACGUAAAGAACCUGCCCAUAGGUCUGGGAUAACCACGAGAAAUCGGGGCUAAUACCGGAUGUGUCAUCGGACCGCAUGGUCCGCUGAUGAAAGGCGCUUCGACGUCGCCCAUGGAUGGCUUUGCGGUGCAUUAGCUAGUUGGUGGGGUAACGGCCCACCAAGGCGACGAUGCAUAGCCGACCUGAGAGGGGGAUCGGCCGCACUGGGACUGAGACACGGCCCAGACUCCUACGGGAGGCAGCAGUAGGGAAUCUUCCACAAUGGACGAAAGUCUGAUGGAGCAACGCCGCGUGAACGAUGAAGGCUUUCGGGUCGUAAAGUUCUGUUGUAAGGGAAGAACAAGUGCCGCAGGCAAUGGCGGCACCUUGACGGUACCUUGCGAGAAAGCCACGGCUAACUACGUGCCAGCCGCCGCGGUAACAC